rnacentral:tRNA from 1 species
AGCUUCAACUAUGAAUCGAACACAGAUUUCGAGGGUCAGAACCUCGUGUCUUAACCAUUAGACGAUUAAAGC